rnacentral:lncRNA from 1 species
AGUCAUGAUGUGAGGGUCUCAGAGGAGCAGGCAGCAGAGGAGCUCACGUCCCUUCAACCACUGGUCAUUCAGGCAUCCCACUGCCUACGGCUGAAACCUGCAGGAGUGGCCAGGGAAGAUUUCUGCUUAUUGCUGCUCACCCCAGGCUCAGGCAAUGGCCCAAGUCAGUCCUGAGAGCAGGGACCUCUGCAAGCCCAGGUUCCACGGAGGCUGUGGCUGUUUCUGUAACUGCACUCAAUGCUCAGCGCUGGAUUGAGAGUGAGUGAGGUUGGAAGAGACCAAUGGAGUUUAUCUGAUCCCAAGUGGUGACCUGCUCUUGUAUGAGGAGAGAGCAGCAGGCAUCUCCUGCUCCACGUGCAGAUAAAAGAACCGAACUGUUGGAGAUGGGAGUGACAAGGACUGCAGCCUGCAGCCACAGCUGGAGCACAGGAACUGGCCAAGGAUGCUGCAGAGGAAACCACGGCCCUUCACAAGAGCUGCAAAGAGAAUUCAUUAAUGCUUUCUGAGUUCUGUCUAGAG